CCUGGCUGCGCAGUGGGUUAUGGUGUGACAGCACCAUGAACAGCCACUGUGUCUAUUGGGCAAACUGGGCAGGCUGAAAACCAACUGAAAAAACAGGCAUGGGAUGACUGGAUGGCCAUAUAUGCCAACCUCACCUAAAGAAAGCAUUGUAAAUUCAGUUGUUCAUUGAGACCUCUGGGGUGGAUGGUGUCUAAUUUAAAAAUCCAGCGGGCCUCAAGUUGUAACAAUUGAGUCGCUCUGUCUCCACCGUGGACAGAGGACGGGAUGUGGUCCACUAUCUUGUAUCUGAUGGCUGCUGUAUUGUUGUAUUUUUGUAAGGCUCACAUUUACUAUGAGGCUACGCAGUAUUACGAUGCUGCGCCGCAUCUCCAUGGUUACCGUUUUCUCUCCUGUCUGCAGCCACGUCACUGAGGGGUCGGUGCAGCGGGAUGACGCAACUUCCGGAUUUCGCAUGCCACACGCUGCCGGAAGUGCGGGUUCCGUGCACAGGACGGCGGGGACGUGGAGGCAGACACAGAUACACGGUACAGGAACCACACCAAAGAAAUUCUGUUAAUAGUUGACUGGUCAACUGGACACAGGAUUCUCUGCAUAAACCAUUCAAGCCAGGUGACAAGAACUAGGUCUCAGAAGUAAUCUUCAGAUAUGGUUAGAAAGCAUGGAUUCUACUAACUGUCGGCAUAUUGCAUGAGGAAUAUCGUCCCGAAUGCGAUGAAAUGCAUCUUACAGUUCCUGAAGUUUUGAUGGUAGAAGAAGCAACACUUUUGUGCUGUUGACUGCAUGUCCUCCCUUUAACAUCUGCAUGGUGUAAUUGAAAACAUGAUUCCUCAUGACUCCCCCCCCCCCCAAAAAGACCCAUUUCCAAUCUUACUGUCCAAUUGCUGUGUUCCUGUGCAAACUGGAGGCAUUUUACCCUGUUUGAAGUAGAUAGCAAUGGCUUACUGACAGGCAAUCUCCUUCAGUAGCCCAUACAAUGUCAUUUGCUAAAAUACAUUUCCAAGCCACUGCUUUAGAAAUUCUUCAAAUUUCAUCAACUCCCUGCAAAUUAUACCGUUACAAUUCCCUUUAUGUUUAUAACAUUCUUAGCCCUAUAUUAAAUCUUUCAUUGACGUGGAAUUUACAGAGCUUUAAAUUUUAUAUGAACCACAUGUGACCCUACGAUUUCACUAGGCGAAGGCACAGUGACAGGGUUUACUACAAAGUCUGCAGACACAUUACAUGACAAUCCAGCUUCUGUCUAUAAACAACCUGUCCUAGAGGGGUGAUAAAAAUUAUUAUCAAAAAUCAGUAUCUGAUCAAUGAAAAUAGCUGUUCUGGAACUGCCCCAAAAUCCUGAUGUUGCAACUUUAUGACAUAUCCUUAUUACUAAUAUGAGUGGCAAACUUAUGGUGUAUAACGGAUACAACAAAUUACAGCACCAUCUGGAAGUUAUUAAGGUUCUACUGAACCUCGGCAGCUGAUCUCUGUGUAUUGUGGAACAUGAACAUCUUUUGUCAAUUUAUCCAUUCAGGCGACUGAAGUGAUGAAGAUAUAAACUGAACAUAAUAUAUCUUGAGCACACAAUAGAUAUUUUAAGUCUAGUUUUAUUAAGGAGUUAGCAACAAGGAGGAAGCCAUCAAAUUACCUCAAGGAUCAACUCUGUUUUAAUAAAUAAAUUUUACAUUUUGCAGAAACCCACAAUUUGUUUCCUACUUAUAGAUCAUAGGUAAUACAAGGCUUAUAAAAGCCUCCAUAUUUCAUCCAGGGAAUGUGUUAGAUAUCAUAGAAAUCUACAAGCAGACACUUUUAUAGACA